UACGGAGGGUGCAAGCGUUGUCCGGAAUCACUGGGUGUAAAGGGUGUGUAGGCGGGACUGUAAGUCAGAGGUGAAAGCCCACGGCUCAACCGUGGAAUUGCCUUUGAUACUGCAGUUCUUGAGUCCCGGAGGAGCUAUCGGAAUUCGUGGUGUAGCGGUGAAAUGCGUAGAUAUCACGAGGAACACCAGAAGCGUAGGCGGAUAGCUGGACGGGUACUGACGCUGAGGCACGAAAGCGUGGGGAGCAAACAGG
rnacentral:misc_RNA from 1 species